UGCCCAGCAACUCCUAUCCCUACCUCCUCGUGGUACCGGCCGGAAACUAUGAGCAACCUUAGGGAAGAUCGGGUAACCAACCCCGGUGGGAGUUUUGGUCGUAGGCUGACAGGGAAGG
rnacentral:ribozyme from 1 species